UUCUGUUUCAAAAUAAUAAUGCCAUCUUAUAUAAAUAAGUUGUUGGCAGAUGUAACAUGUUUCAAACCCAAAUACUAGAAGACAGACCUUGUUGGCUUUUUGCAACUU